rnacentral:rRNA from 1 species
ACGAACGCUGGCGGCGUGCCUAACACAUGCAAGUCAACUUGACUGAAGGAGCAAUCUGACAGUAGAGUGGCGCAAGGGUGCGUAACGCGUAAGUAACUUGCCCCAAGGUAAGGAAUAACGUCGAGAAAUCGGCGCUAAUACCUCAUAAUGCAGCGGAUCCGCAUGGAUAUGUUGUUAGAGGUUUACCGCCUUGGGAUAGGCUUGCGUCUGAUUAGCUAGUUGGUGUGGUAACGGCACACCAAGGCUACGAUCAGUAACUGGUCUGAGAGGAUGAUCAGUCACACUGGAACUGAGACACGGUCCAGACUCCUACGGGAGGCAGCAGUGAGGAAUAUUGGGCAAUGCUCGAAAGAGUGACCCAGCAACGCCGCGUGGAGGAUGAAGGUAUUCUAUAUCGUAAACUCCUGUGAGAGCAGACGAAAGACAGAUUAUUAAUCUGGAUGACUGUAUGCUCAGAGGAAGCCCCGGCUAACUACGUG